GAAGGAUGGCAGAGUGGUUGAAUGCACCGGUCUUGAAAACCGGCGAAGCUAAUAACUUCCGUGGGUUCGAAUCCCACUCCUUCC
rnacentral:tRNA from 3 species